rnacentral:rRNA from 1 species
GACGAACGCUGGCGGCGUGCCUAACACAUGCAAGUCGAAUGGGGUGUCGGGAGCUUGCUUCUGACACUUAGUGGCGAACGGGCGAGUAACGCGUGAGGAACCUGCCUUUCAGUGGGGGACAACAGUUGGAAACGACUGCUAAUACCGCAUAACGUAUUCGGACCGCAUGAUCUGAAGACCAAAGCUUUAUGUGCUGAAAGAUGGCCUGGCGGCUGAUUAGCUAGUUGGGGGGGUAACGGCCCACCAAGGCGACGAUCAGUAGCCGGUCUGAGGGGAUGAACGGCCAGAUUGGUACUGAGAUACGGCCUCGGCUCCUACGGGAGGCGGGAGUGGUGAAUAGUGGGCAAUGGGGGAAACCCUGACCGAGCAACGCCGCGUGAAGGAAGAAGGCCUUCGGGUUGUAAACUUCUUUUACCAGGGACGAAGAACGUGACGGUACCUGGAGAAAAAGCAACGGCUAACUACGUGCCAGCCGCCGCAGUAACAC